UACGUAGGGUGCAAGCGUUGUCCGGAAUUAUUGAGCGUAAAGAGCUUGUAGGCGGUUUGUCGCGUCUGCUGUGAAAUUUCGGGGCUCAACCCCGAACUUGCAGUGGGUACGGGCAGACUAGAGUGUGGUAGGGGAGACUGGAAUUCCUGGUGUAGCGGUGAAAUGCGCAGAUAUCAGGAGGAACACCGAUGGCGAAGGCAGGUCUCUGGGCCAUAACUGACGCUGAGAAGCGAAAGCAUGGGGAGCGAACAGG
rnacentral:rRNA from 1 species